rnacentral:rRNA from 1 species
UACGUGAGGGUGCGAGCGUUAAUCGGAAUUACUGGGCGUAAAGCGUGCGCAGGCGGUUCUGUUGUGUCGGUGGUGAAAAUCCCCGGGCUUAACCCCGGAAAGGUCAGCCGAUACUGCGGGGCUAGAGUGCAGAAGGGGCAACUGGAAUUCUCGGUGUAGCGGAUGAAAUGCGUAGAUAUCGAGAGGAACACCUGCGGCGAAGGCGGGUUGCUGGGCUGACACUGACGCUGAGGCGCGAAGGCUAGGGGAGCAAACAGG